rnacentral:rRNA from 1 species
GUGGGGAAUAUUGCACAAUGGGGGAAACCCUGAUGCAGCAACGCCGCGUGAGUGAUGAAGGUCUUCGGAUUGUAAAACUCUGUCUUUGGGGACGAUAAUGACGGUACCCAAGGAGGAAGCCACGGCUAACUACGUGCCAGCAGCCGCGGUAAUACGUAGGUGGUAAGCGUUGUCCGGAUUUACUGGGCGUAAAGGGAGCGUAGGCGGAUUUUUAAGUGGGAUGUGAAAUACCCGGGCUUAACCUGGGUGCUGCAUUCCAAACUGGAAGUCUAGAGUACAGGAGGGGAAAGUGGAAUUCCUAGUGUAGCGGUGAAAUGCUUAGAGAUUAGGAAGAACACCGGUGGCAAAGGCGACUUUCUGGACUGUAACUGACGCUGAGGCUCGAAAGCGUGGGGAGCAAACAGGAUUAGAAACCCGAGUAGUCC